rnacentral:rRNA from 1 species
UUGAAAGGGAAACGAUUGAAGUCAGUCGUACCUGCGGACAAUCAGCCUUUCGGGUGCGAUUAUGUGGAGCGUGGGGAGCUAAACGCCUUCAUGCCUGCGUAUUUGUAUUCUGGGGUGUACUUGGACGUGCGGUAGGUUAACAUCAAUUUCGGACGUCAUAAAAUGGCUGGAGGAAUGUAGCUUCGGUCUCGUACUGAAGUGUUAUAGCCUUCGGCAGAUAUGGUGACCGGGAUUGAGGAUUGCAACGGAUACCUUUUGGGCUACCCGCCUGAUCUCUGAAAGUUGCUCUGGUGCCGAAAGCUUGCUUACGGUUAUCAAAGUUGACGUUCAAAAGGUUAGAACGGGUUAAAUUCGUUAAGGAUGUUGACGUA